UACGUAGGGGGCAAGCGUUAUCCGGAAUUACUGGGCGUAAAGAGUGCGUAGGUGGCCACUCAAGCGCAGGGUUUAAGGCAACGGCCUAACCGUUGUCAGCCUUGCGAACUGGGUGGCUUGAGUACAGGAGAGGAAGGCGGAAUUCCUAGUGUAGCGGUGAAAUGCGUAGAUAUUAGGAGGAACACCGGUGGCGAAGGCGGCCUUCUGGACUGUCACUGACACUGAGGCACGAAAGCGUGGGUAGCAAACAGG
rnacentral:rRNA from 1 species